UACGAAGGGGGCGAGCGUUGUUCGGAUUUACUGGGCGUAAAGGGCGCGUAGGCGGCGGGUCAAGUCGAGUGUGAAAGCCCCGGGCUUAACCUGGGAACUGCAUUCGAGACUGCAUUGCUAGAGUAUGGGAGAGGGAAGUGGAAUUUCCGGUGUAGCGGUGAAAUGCGUAGAUAUCGGAAGGAACAUCAGUGGCGAAAGCGACUUCCUGGACCAAUACUGACGCUCAUGUGCGAAAGCGUGGGGAGCAAACAGG
rnacentral:rRNA from 1 species